UCAGGCCAAGGAAGCAGGGAAAAUUCCAGGAUUCUAUGAGUUCUGAGAUAGCCCCACACAAAGAAGCUGUGGUGUCUCCGCCUCAGCUGCUGCAGAGACUAGAACUGGCUUCCCCUUGGAGACAGCAGAUUUCGGGAUGAUCCUUGCUUAAGCCCGCGCAUCCCCAGGCGAGUCUUAGAGGUUACAGC